UACGUAGGGUGCAAGCGUUAAUCGGAAUUACUGGGCGUAAAGCGUGCGCAGGCGGUUUUGUAAGUCUGUCGUGAAAGCCCCGGGCUCAACCUGGGAAUUGCGAUGGAGACUGCAAGGCUUGAAUCUGGCAGAGGGGGGUAGUAUUCCACGUGUAGCAGUGAAAUGCGUAGAGAUGUGGAGGAACACCGAUGGCGAAGGCAGCCCACUGGGUCAAGAUUGACGCUCAUGCACGAAAGCGUGGGGAGCAAACAGG
rnacentral:rRNA from 1 species